UACGUAGGGGGCAAGCGUUGUCCGGAAUUACUGGGCGUAAAGGGCGCGUAGGCGGCCGCCUAAGUCAGACGUGAAAUCCCUCGGCUCAACCGGGGAACUGCGUCUGAUACUGGGUGGCUUGAAUUCGGGAGAGGGAUGCGGAAUUCCAGGUGUAGCGGUGAAAUGCGUAGAUAUCUGGAGGAACACCAAUAGCGAAGGCAGCUCGCUGGGACGUUACUGACACUGAGGCGCGAAAGCGUGGGGAGCGAACAGG
rnacentral:rRNA from 1 species